CCAGGGAACUGGGUGUGAUGACUUAUGCUUGUACAUUUCAUCAGUUAAUGGAGGAGAGUUCAAAUGCUCUAACAGUGAGAUGUUUAAGAGUGUUGGGAACCAGAACCACAGACGUAGAAUAAUACAAUGAGAUCCACGAACUGAUUGAUGAAAGAAGACAAGAAUGGAAAUCCAAGAAAAAAACCAUGUCUGCAAUAAUCAAGGAGGUGUGUGAUGGGUAAGUGUUGCAAAGAUUCUUCUGAAGCAUUCAGUCCAUACUUUGGCAGGAACAUAGAGUAUUUCCACUGGAGGGAUAAAAUAUUAUCCAUAAUCCUGUAAAUGAAUGAUAACCAUAAAUCUUACUCAUAACUCUUCAUGUGACCUACCUAGUCACAAAGAAUUACCUUGUGAGAGUUACCCUUCUUUUUCCACCAAAAUCUUUCCCCUAUUCCUCGAAGAUUAGAAAGCAUGGAAUGGCUGGCUCCAUGUGUACAGUGGGUUGGUGUUAUUUCUUUUAAACAGUUGUGUUCCUUUUGUCCUUCCAAACAGGGAACCUUUUGACUAAAGGUUCCUGAGAGUUAAAUACACACUAUCUGACAUACACUGAAAGCAUCCCUCAGGCCCCUGUGGAAGAUGGCAGAAUUAACAGACAAGUCCAUGGGUAAUUGUGUGCUUUGUGGACUUUUCUCACUGACUGACAUGGCUUUUCCCCUUCUUCGGGGCUGUCCUAACAAUCCUGGGGAAGGGUACAUUGCAAAGUCGCAUGGUAUUUCUUGACUUGUAAAGCAGAACUGUGAACAGAAUAUCAUGAGGAUGUUAGAGAAGACUUAGUUGGUGUAUGUAUGGAGUAUCUGUAUGGAGUGGACUGAUUGUGAGUUAGAGAAUUCAGUGACAAUUGGCAUUGUACUAAUUCUCACACGUUUAAAUUGCUGCCAUUUGCCUUGCUAUCAUUUCUCUGCCUCAAUUCUUCAAAAGAAGAAUGUUGCCACUCACAGUUUAAGUCCCCCACCCAAGCCUUGAAGAUGAAAUGCUUAAAGGUGAGCAGUAGCCUUGGUCUAGGAACUUCAAAGAGGAAAGCACUGUUGGUCUCAGUGUAAUAGGUGAGUUAAAGUCAUUUUGUUUAGAGAUUCCCCAUUGUGCCUAUUUGAGACUGGCUCUAUUCAAAUCAUGGUGAAUGUAAUUCAGCUCACCCCCAACAAUUAAUAAAAAUGAAGAUAAACACUUUUGUUUCUCUGAUCACUUAUGCUAUGUUUUGUAGGUGGUGUCUUGCCAACCAUGAAUGCUUUGCACUGCAACAUGCUGACAGUUCAAACUUGUAUAUCAUGGAAAAGUAUAACAAAAUUGUACCUGGCGACACCUUAAGAGGGGAUGAUGGGGGAUGAAAUUCGGAAUAUGUUGAUAGCCCUCUGCAAGACAGCCCAAUGCAAGAUUAGUUAUAGAAGCAGAGGAGACAAAGAUGCUCAGGGAAGAGGAAGAAAGAUUUCUUCAAUCAAAUGGCAGAGGAGUCUACAAGGAUAUCUGGAAUGACAGCGUGUAUCUCAGUUGUAUAAGGUUGAAGAUCUCAGGCUGUUGAGACACUGAAGUUGCAGAUAUUAGUCACAAGCACCUGGCAGGGUCCUGCAGUUGUGCAUGGCGACUCCAGUCCCUCCCAGCAGGUUGAGGGAGGCUUCCCUACCUGCAUGGAAGUAAGCCAGCAGCUUCCCACACAGAUGAUGGCUGUUACAAAGGAGACUUUUCAACACUCAGAUUUCAAGGCUUGUGGAACAGUUCAUGAGAACACCUGACUGACUGAAAGCCUAGCUGCUAGCGGGACCUGCUCUUGCUCAUUCUGCAGAGAAAAAAAUUACCUCAAAGCCCGAAAGGAUUUCAUCUUAGAAUAGGAUAUGCAGAAGUCCCUGCCAUUAACAAAGACAAAGAAAAGCACCGACCAAAUCCUUGCUCUUGUAAAGAAAUGGUUUUAACAGAC